GGGCCGUUAGCUCAGUUGGUAGAGCAGUUGACUCUUAAUCAACGGGUCGCUGGUUCGAGCCCAGCACGGCCCA
rnacentral:tRNA from 1 species